rnacentral:rRNA from 1 species
CCUACGGGUGGCAGCAGUGGGGAAUAUUGGACAAUGGGCGAAAGCCUGAUCCAGCCAUGCCGCGUGUGUGAAGAAGGCCUUCGGGUUGUAAAGCACUUUCAGUGGGGAAGAAAGCCUUGGGGCUAAUACCCUCGAGGAAGGACAUCACCCACAGAAGAAGCACCGGCUAACUCCGUGCCAGCAGCCGCGGUAAUACGGAGGGUGCGAGCGUUAAUCGGAAUUACUGGGCGUAAAGCGCGCGUAGGCGGUCUGAUAAGCCGGUUGUGAAAGCCCCGGGCUCAACCUGGGAACGGCAUCCGGAACUGUCAGGCUAGAGUGCAGGAGAGGAAGGGAGAAUUCCCGGUGUAGCGGUGAAAUGCGUAGAGAUCGGGAGGAAUACCAGUGGCGAAGGCGGCCUUCUGGACUGACACUGACGCUGAGGUGCGAAAGCGUGGGUAGCGAACAGGAUUAGAUACCCUAGUAGUC